rnacentral:tRNA from 1 species
GGGCGGAUUUAGCCAAG